CGGAGAGUAGCGCAGCUUGGUCAGCGCGCAUGGUUCGGGACCAUGAGGUCGGCGGUUCAAAUCCGCCCUCUCCGACCA
rnacentral:tRNA from 4 species